rnacentral:lncRNA from 1 species
CGCCCCCAGUCCCCCUAUCUCGGAGCCACCCUCCUGGGCCUACAGGCGCCGCGGGGCCAGGGACUGGGCGCGGAUCGAGGCGGGGAGGGACCUGGAAAAACCACCCAGAUUGCAUUGCAGUGGGUGAGGCAGCCCGGAGAGCCGGUUCUCCUGAGCCACCUCCCUGCGGGGCUUUUUCGGUGCGCUGUUCCCAGGUGCUCUAUCCUACCUGGGCCAGGGAGUGCCGCCUCGCAGGGACGCGGGACCCGCUGCGUGGCCCCGAGGAGCGGCCCCGAGCGCGCGCGGCGGCUGCCCGGAGGCCCAAGGCCCGGCGUGCGACUGUUGCUGCGAAUGGUUAGAACAGCUCAGGAAGUCGCGCCCCGCCGUCCUUUUUGGCGCCUGGUGUUCGGAUUAAUCAUUUGUAUAGCGCGUUUGGAUAAACUGAGAACUUUAUGAGCGCGUUUGCCAGGGAUUCUGCAGCGUCAUCCGUGUUAGAAUCGAAUCUCAGAGCUCCCCCUUUUCACAGAGGCUUGCCUUUUCUUUUUUAAGGAAGUCGGAUCCCUGGUGUCUGAUUUUUUUAAAUUUAAAGUUUAAUCUGCCUAACUAGGUUACACGGACAGGAUUUUUUUGUUUUAUUUUGUUUUCUAAUGUAUUCCCAGGGCUUGGAACAGAGCCAGAAAUAUACUAGGCAUUCAACAAAUAUUUGUUGAAUGAUUUUAGUGAGUAACACCCAACCAUUUUUGUAGUUCUUUGUCUCCUGAGCUGGGCAGAGUUCAUCACCGCAAAGGUGAGAUUCUGAAAAUGGGAGUCUGCAGGUUACAACUAAGUGGACAUUCAUUAACCAAUAGAGGAUUCCCUACCCAGCACAACAGGAUGCCUAAAAGAUCUGUGCAGCCAUACAGCUGAAGGAUCCAAUCUGGAAUAUCACAUUGCAUGUAAAACAAGUAUUUUUUUGGCCAAGAUAUUCUAGAGGAUGCAAAAAUAACCCCCCGGUACAUAGUUGUGUAUUCUUCGCUGUGGGUUCCUCCAGUUGUGGCAUGUGGGACGCUGCCUCAGCGUGGUCUGACGAGCAGUGCCAUGUCCGCGCCCAGGAUUCGAACCGACGAAACACUGGGCCGCCUGCAGCGGAGCGCGAGAACCCAACCACUCGG